rnacentral:rRNA from 1 species
UACAGAGGUCUCAAGCGUUGUUCGGAUUCAUUGGGCGUAAAGGGUGCGCAGGCCGCAUGGUAAGUCUGGUGUGAAGUCCUGGAGCUUAACUCCAGAAUUGCACUGGAUACUGCCGUGCUAGAGGACUGGAGAGGAGAUUGGAAUUCUCGGUGUAGCAGUGAAAUGCGUAGAUAUCGUGAGGAAGACCAGUGGCGAAGGCGAAUCUCUGGACAGUUCCUGACGCUCAUGCACGAAGGCCAGGGGAGCAAACGGG